rnacentral:rRNA from 1 species
CUUGCUUUAACAAGGCGAAACCGCGAAUGGCUCAUUAAAUCAGUUAUGGUUCACUAGAUCGUAAAUCCUACACGGAUAACUGUGGUAAUUCUAGAGCUAAUACGUGCAAACGGCUCGUUCCCUUGUGGAGCGAGCGCAGUUAUUAGAACAAAACCAAUCCGGCCUUCGGGUCGGUUAAAAUGGUGACUCUGAAUAACCGAAGCGGAGCGUAUGGUCUCGUACCGACGCCAGAUCUUUCAAGUGACUGCUCUAUCAGCUUGUUGCUAGGUUAUGCUCCUAGCAAGGCUUCAACGGGUAACGGGGUAUCAGGGUCCGAUACCGGAGAGGGAGCCUGAGAAACGGCUACCACAUCCAAGGAAGGCAGCAGGCGCGCAAAUUACCCACUCCCAGCACGGGGAGGUAGUGACGAAAAAUAACGAUGCGAGGGCAUAUUGCUUCUCGUAAUCGGAAUGGGUACACUUUAAAUCCUUUAACGAGGAUCUAUUGGAGGGCAAGUCUGGUGCCAGCAGCCGCGGUAAUUCCAGCUCCAAUAGCGUAUAUUAAAGUUGCUGCGGUUAAAAAGCUCGUAGUUGGAUCUGGGCAGCUGGAUGUGCGGUGCGCUUUACAGCGUUACUGCUCGUUUGGCGCCACAAGCCGGCCAUGUCUUGCAUGCUCUUCACUGCGUGUGCUUGGCGACCGGAACGUUUACUUUGAAAAAAUUAGAGUGCUCAAAGCAGGCGUAUGGCCUUGCAUAAUGGUGCAUGGAAUAAUGGAAUAGGACCUCGGUUCUAUUUUGUUGGUUAUCGGAGCUCGAGGUAAUGAUUAAGAGGAACAGACGGGGGCAUUCGUAUUGCGGCGUUAGAGGUGAAAUUCUUGGAUCG